UCUCUGCCUGCGGUACCAGGAGGCCCUCCUCUUCCGGACCCGCUGUGGAGGUUUGGGAGGACGGGGGACCGCCUCCACACCGACAGGAGCCCGGCCUCCUCAGGACCCUCUCUGGGAGCUUCAGGAGGACGUGAGGCCGUGUCCAUACCGACAGGAGCCCGGCCACCUCAGGACCCACUGGAGGACGUGGGGCCGCAUCCACACCGACAGAACCCGCUGUGGAGGAUGUGGGUCCGUGUGUACACGGACAGGAGCCCGGCCUCAGGACCCGCCCCAGGAGGAGAAGCUGUGCCCUGAGAGACAGCCACAAAGAGGAGAGGUCAUCUACUUGGGCCACCAGCUUAUCUGAGAAAUCCAAAUGAGAGACCACCUGACCUGUGUUGUUGAGUCCAUCAGGCUACAGAUGGUCCUGUCUGUGCAGCCACAAAUGGAGACAGCCCCUACCAACUUCUACCAGGUCUACUAGAUAGACCUCUGGGGAUGAAACCCUGACUGCCAUUCUUCAACAUGGCCUCCAACCAGCAGGAAGCAGUUAGACUGGUCAUCGCCCCCUUUCCCUACCAGCAGUUAGGGUUACGUCUUCAGAGGGGGGAAUGUUAAGAGUUAGUUGGACAGUUAGGUAGUGAGGACCAGGGUCCCCAACAAGAAAAUACGGAGUCAGGACAGUUAAAAUAAAACAACAUGGACAUCCUGUUUUGCAGCUUAGACAGGACCACACUGACAUCCUGCUUUGUAGCCUUUGCAGAAAUGAUUUCUGCAAAACAUCCUAAAAUAAGACAAUUAACCACAAAAACAUCUGUCAAUAUCAUGGGCAAGGGGCAGUUAAGACCUAAGCCCCCAGAUGUCAGCCAAAAAAAAGACAAUCAGCACAUGGACAUGAACCUAAUAGGUAGACAGAUACGUGACCAAAGCCCUGAUUGGCACGACUCAGCACACACUGAUUGCUUAAGAUAGUUCAGCAAAAGAGCUCAUAAAACCCCCUAAACUUAGAAACUCCAGGGGCAACCCACUCGGGCCCCCACUCUCCAGGAGCCUUGUACUCUUGCUCAGUAAACUUUGCUUUGCUGCCUACCACUCUUCGUCUGGUAUACCUCUUCAUUCUUCGAAGUGGCCUGAGCAAGAACUGCGGGCACUAAGGAGACACAAAUUCUGUAAUGCCAUGAUGGUGAGCAUUCAAAAUCAUGAAGGGAUUGUAGGUUUAAAUAUGGACUAGACAAUCAUUUGGCAGUGCCGUUAUUUCACUCAACAAGCUUUCACUGAGGACUUAAGUUGGACUAGCUUCUAAGACUAUGUAAAACCAAUGUACUGGGUUUUUUCCAGUCAUAGAUACAUAAAUGACAGUGAUAUGAUGUACAAUACAAUGUUCAUUAGAUAUAUUCAUAUCUCUGUGUGACCAAGAAAAUCUAAAUAAAUGUGUUUCUUGAAAAAAAAUAAUAAAGAAUAAUGAAAAAGUGAAGGGUCAGUAUAUUGACACCCUUGUUAAGGAACCUGGAUAGAACCUCAGAUGACUUCUAUCCAACUCCAUAUCUUUCUCUUCCCUUUGAUGGUGACUUUAU